rfam:Helianthus annuus linkage group 13, whole genome shotgun sequence.
UGCCGAUGAUGACGUAUAUUGUAUUGUCCGUACCAUCUGAAAGGUUUUAUAGCCUUGUUUGAUUAUACUCACAUCCAAUGUCUGAGGCAU